GGGGAGUUCACUGGGGUGUUGACUGUGAAGUGAGGUGUUCAGUGUAGCAUCUGUCUGCACAGCUCUCUAUUUAUAACCGGGCCCCGCAUGGCGGCGGAUUAUCUCAGCGGGCUGCGGUCGGAUCGAGCGUGGGGAGGACGUCUGGGUUUGAUUUGAGUCGAAUAGUGUCUGGAGAGGACUGUCCCCGGGAGCCAGGCGUUCUGCGGGACGAGUCUCACCUGGGCGCCGCGGGGGGCCGUGCAGCCUGCAGCGUCCAGGGGGUUGAGCCACACGCACACUCUGCGGUCUCCUUUAACGUAUAUAAUAAAGCGCAGUGUUCGAUACACACUAAAGUGUGUGUGUGUGUGUGUGUGUGUGUGUGUGUGUGUGUGUGUGUGUGUGUGUGUGUGUGUGUGUGUGUGUGUGUGUGUGUGUGUGUGUGUGUGUGUGUGUGACUGGUUGGCCAUGACUGGCUACUGGCGACCACCUGGCCUCUUGUCAGCAGCCUCUGGUCCGAGGGGUCCUUCGCAGUCCACGGGGGGGGUUGUGGAGCAACAAGCACACAGUCCGCACUCUCAUUAGAUCCGCCCUCCAUCUGUAUCGCCGGUGUGGCUAUCAGUCUGAGGUAGCAAGGAAAACAUUAAUACAUUCCCCGUCGUUUCUUAAUGCGAGUGUCGUUGUUCGCCACGGAGGACGGUCUCUGCUGCUCCGUACUGCACCACAACGCCGCACCGCAUUCUGCUCUUCUAGAACGGUACCCCCCCCCCCCCCCCCCCCCUUGGUGCAGUAACCGCAGUGGAGGCUCAACCAAUGGGAUGAGAGUCCCUAAUUUAAAACACUGAGUGAUUGGUGAAGCGUAUUAGCACUUUAUCUGUUAUUUAUGUUCAGCAGGAAUUGAAAACGGCUCUUGACUUUGCUAGGAUUGUAUCAGGCAUCGUCUUUGAGAACCCGGAUCCCUUUCCCCUGAACAAAGUCGUGGUCGUCUCCCUCCUACAGCAGGUUCAGUCGAGUCAUGGCGUAGUCCUGCGGGCUCUUGGCUGCACAGCCCCGUCUCUGUUGUUCAGAGGUGGUUUCAAAGCUGAAUGAAAGCAGUCCUUGUUUUCCUACCCCAGAGCCUCCCGGUGCUGCCAGACACUGGAAGGCUCUGGCCAGCUACCGUAGACAGGAUGCCCUGCAGUCCCCCCCCGGAUGGUGAGUCAUGAGGCAGGAGCACACGGCCUCGCCCCCCCCCCCGGACCAAAGAGAAGGUUCCUCUCCUCGGAUCUCCAGAAGCUGAUCCGACCUGCCGCGGACGCACCUCCUCGGUCUCCGGUGAAGGCCGUGUUGGUAGCUGGACGCCCACCAGCUGCUGAAACACCCUCACUAGCUCUGUUCCCACGCCACGCUAGUCCAGCGCCUGCAUCAACUUUGCCGUCCUGUGUUAGUGCCUGGAGAGGCUGUGAGCAGUCCAGUCAAAAGAGAUUCCAAUCUGAGCUAUAGAUAUAUAUCUGUGUAUCUCUAGCUACCAGUAGGCGGUGAGGGCUGUAUCCCCAUGGAACCAGAUAAAGUGAGCUCCUGGUGUGCUACAUUAGCGACCCUGUUCAUGUCUCACUAAUUAUAGCAGCGUGUGUAUUUCGGGCGCUGAGUGUUGCAGGCCUCACCGUACUCUGGCAGCACUGUGUUGUUCACGGCCCGGGGAGAGCCCGGGUAGAGCCCGGGUAGGGGGUUCUACACCGUACGGUCCCACAGCCCCGCCGGCCCCCAGAGCUGCUGCUGUUCUCAGCGCUGGCAGGACGGUCUGACGGGAGUUCACCGCUGGACGCACCUCUGACUGGAUCUCUUACGUCUGUAGGGCUGGUCUCUCUCUACGUCUGGUCUCUAUCUGUAGGGUUGGUCUCUCUACGUCUGUAGGGUUGGUCUCUACGUCUGUGGGGUUGGUCUCUACAUCUGUAGGGUUGGUCUCUCUACGUCUGUGGGGUUGGUCUCUACAUCUGUAGGGCUGGUCUCUCUACGUCUGUAGGGUUGGUCUCUCUACGUCUGUAGGGUUGGUCUCUAUGUCUGUAGGGUUGGUCUCUCUAUGUCUGUAGGUCUGGUCUCUCUGUCUGUAGGGCUGGUCUAUGUCUGUAGGACUGGUAUCUCUCUGUCUGUAGGGCUGAUCUCUCUCUAUGUCUGUAGGGCUGGUCUCUGUGUCUGUAGGGUUGGUCUCUCUCUACGCCAGUAGGGUUGGUCUCUCUCUACGCCAGUAGGGUUAGUCUCUCUCUCUCUCUCUGUACACCAGUAGGGUUGGUCUCUACGUCUGGUCUCUCUACGCCUGUAGGGUUGGUCUCUCUAUGACUCUAGGGUCACAUCACAGUCAUGUGAUUAGACUGGUGGUGACUUCCAAAUCGUUCCACAAAAUAUAAUAUCUUUGGUUUUUGAAUAUCCUCUUUGAUUUAAAAUAAUGUAAUUUAUAUAUUCUUGCCAUUCCAUAAGGUUAAUAUAGCGGUACGUUUGCAUGAGGCUAUAGAGAGUAUUGUUCUAAAAGCUGUUUCUCCCCACAG